rnacentral:rRNA from 1 species
ACGGGAGGCAGCAGUGGGGGAUAUUGCACAAUGGGGGAAACCCUGAUGCAGCGACGCCGCGUGAGUGAUGAAGUAUUUCGGUAUGUAAAGCUCUAUCAGCAGGGAAGAAAAUGACGGUACCUGACUAAGAAGCACCGGCUAAAUACGUGCCAGCAGCCGCGGUAAUACGUAUGGUGCAAGCGUUAUCCGGAUUUACUGGGUGUAAAGGGAGCGUAGACGGCAUAGCAAGCCAGAUGUGAAAGGUGGGGGCUCAACCCCCAAGCUGCAUUUGGAACUGUUAAGCUAGAGUAUCGGAGAGGUAAGUGGAAUUCCUAGUGUAGCGGUGAAAUGCGUAGAUAUUAGGAGGAACACCGGUGGCGAAGGCGGCUUACUGGACGGCAACUGACGUUGAGGCUCGAAGGCGUGGGGAGCAAACAGGAUUAGAUACCCUGGUA